GGCUCGGUGGUGGAUGGUCCGCAUCUGCAUCUGCAACCCAUCCAAGUUGAGUGUCAAUAUGACUGGAGCAGAAGGUGCUCGUUCGAUUCGAGCCCGAGCCA